UACCCUACGGGGGGCAGCAGUGGGGAAUAUUGGGCAAUGGGCGCAAGCCUGACCCAGCAACGCCGCGUGAAGGAAGAAGGCUUUCGGGUUGUAAACUUCUUUUAAGAGGGAAGAGAAGAAGACGGUACCUCUUGAAUAAGCCACGGCUAACUACGUGCCAGCAGCCGCGGUAAUACGUAGGUGGCAAGCGUUAUCCGGAUUUACUGGGUGUAAAGGGCGUGUAGGCGGGAAAGCAAGUCAGAUGUGAAAACCAUGGGAUCAACCUGUGGCCUGCAUUUGAAA
rnacentral:rRNA from 1 species